GGUCAGGUAGCCUAGCGGUUAAGGCAGCCCAUGCGUGGGUCAGGUUGCCUAUAGCGGUUAAGGCAGCCCAUGCGCGGGUCAGGUAGCCUAUAGCGGUUAAGGCAGCCCAUGCGUGUUGGGUCCGGAUCCAUUGGAUCUGGUUGCUGGUUUAAAUCCAGCCCCGGCCA
rnacentral:tRNA from 1 species